CGGUAAUUCCAGCUCCAAUAGCGUAUAUUAAAGUUGUUGCGGUUAAAAAGCUCGUAGUUGGAUUUCUGCGGGGACGGAGCGGCCGGACGCAACUUGCGUCUCGAGCUAGCGCUUUCCCCGCAUCCUGCCGCGAACCGUGCUACCAUUAGCUUGGUGGCGCUGGGGAUCGGCUCGAUUACUUUGAGAAAGAUAGAGUGUUCAAAGCAGGCCACACGCCUUGAAUAAGUUAGCAUGGAAUAAUGACUAAGGACUUCGGUUCUAUUUUGUUGGUGUUCGGGACUGAAGUAAUGAUUGAUAGGGACAGUUGGGGCGGUCUGUAUUCCAAAGCGAGAGGUGAAAUUCUUAGACCUUCGGAAGACAAACAGCUGCGAAAGCGUUCCGCAAGGAUGUUCCCUUUGAUCAAGAACGAAAGUUGGGGGAUCGAAGACGAUCAGAUACCGUCGUAGUCUCAACUAUAAACUAUACCAGCUAGGGAUCGGUCAACGUUUAAUCAUUCGACUUGAUCGGCACCUUAUGAGGAAUCAAAGCAUCUGGGUUCCGGGGGGAGUAUGGUCGCAAGGCUGAAACUUAAAGGAAUUGACGGAAGGGCACCACCAGCCGUGGAGCCUGUGGCUUAAUUUGACUCAACACGGGAAAACUUACCAGGUCCAGACAUAGUAAGGAUUGACAGAUUGAUAGCUCUUUCUUGAUUCUGUGGGUGGUGGUGCAUGGCCGUUCUUAGUUGGUGGAGUGAUUUGUCUGGUCAAUUCCGUUAACGAACGAGACCCCAGCCUGCUAAAUAGCGCGGCUGAGCUUUGCUCGGUGCGAGCUUCUUAGAGGGACUAUGAUGCGCGAUAGCACAUGGAAGUUUGGGGCAAUAACAGGUCUGUGAUGCCCUUAGAUGUUCUGGGCCGCACACGGGCUACACUGGCGCCUGCAACGAGCAUAUCAGCUGGCCCGAGAGGGUCUUGGCUAAUCUUUUGAACCGGCGCCGUGCUUGGGAUUGACCAUUGUAAUUGUUGGUCAUGCAACGAGGAAUGCCUUGUAAACGCGAGUCAUCAGCUCGCAUUGAAUACGUCCCUGCCCUUUGUACACACCGCCCGUCGCUCCUACCGAUGAAUGUUCCGAUGAAAUUUUCGGAGAGCGCCAGAGAACGGGGCUCCGCCUUGCAGAUCUGGAGGCUCAAAGUCACUUAAAUCUGAACAUUUCGAGGAAGGAGAAGUCGUAACAAGGUAGCCG
rnacentral:rRNA from 1 species